UCUUUUAAUUUUUUCACUUCCUCCUUUUCUCUCAAUCUCAUGCUCCUCUCUCCGACUCUCCCUCUCCCCCCUCCUCUCUUUCUUUUCCUUUCCUUUCUCCUCUCCCUCCCUUCUCACUCUCACGUGCGCACACACAGAAAUUGUGAGAGAGAUGCAGAGCACGACGCUAAGAAGAAGAAGAAGAAAAAGAAGCAACCGAUUGAUGGGUUUGAGUGAGGCACGUAACAUGAGGUUGGAGACUCCAACUUGUUCUCCAAUGUAGGCUUUAAGGUAAAUAGAAUGUGGAAGAGUAUUUGAGUCGUGAUUUCUAUGCGGUCUACCAAAGGUUUUAACGGUUGCCACGUACCUUUUAAUGCAAUAUCGAGGUCUCAAGACAUUUGAUAUAGGUGGCCGGGAUGCUUAGGUUUUUUGGGGAAAACAUGAUAUCCACUUAAAUUACUUUUGUUGUAUCUAUGUUAUAUUGUCAAGGUGUGUCUCAGACACAUAUAAGACAAAAGACCACUUGACUUAUUAGUUUAGAUUUGUAUGCACUUAUUAUAUUAAGACCUCAUGCUUUCAAAAAAAAGAAUAUAUAUUGUUUUCUCA